CAGAGAAUAGUUUAUUAAAAAUAUUAAUUUUGGAGAUUAAAGAUAAAAUAUUGGUUUUUUUUCUGA
rnacentral:tRNA from 2 species